CUACGGGGGGCAGCAGUGGGGGAUAUUGCACAAUGGGGGAAACCCUGAUGCAGCAACGCCGCGUGAAGGAAGACGGUUUUCGGAUUGUAAACUUCUAUCAGCAGGGAAGAAAAUGACGGUACCUGACUAAGAAGCCCCGGCUAACUACGUGCCAGGCAGCCGCGGUAAUACGUAGGGGGCAAGCGUUAUCCGGAAUUACUGGGUGUAAAGGGUACGUAGGCGGCUGAUCAAGUCAGAUGUGAAAGCCCGGAGCUCAACUCCGGGACUGCAUUUGAAACUGGUCGGCUAGAGUGCAGGAGAGGAAAGUGGAAUUCCUAGUGUAGCGGUGACAUGCGUAGAUAUUAGGAAGAACACCAGUGGCGAAGGCGGCUUUCUGGACUGUAACUGACGCUGAGGUACGAAAGCGUGGGGAGCGAACAGGAUUAGAUACCCCUGUAGUC
rnacentral:rRNA from 1 species